GCGACCCCAGUCAGGCGGGAUAC
rnacentral:rRNA from 1 species